rnacentral:lncRNA from 1 species
ACACACUCAUUCCACUCCUUAGAAAGAAAUAAAAGAAAAAGGGUUACAGAGAGAAAAGAAGAACGUAGAGAGAGUCUGAAGGGGAAAGGGAAGAGAACAGGAAAUUCACUCUAAGGAGACAAGUAAGAAUAUCCUUCCUCUUGCUAUCUUUUUCUUUAUUAAUGGUGUUAUAGAGAAUCAAAUUCUGCCCUAUCUGUCUUAGUACUGUGCUGGUUUAAAUAAUAGGAGAAUUGGGGGUUAUAGAGAAACAAGUUCUGUCAUGCCUGUCUUAUUAUUACAGUUUUGGUGUUAGUAAUAGGAGAAUUGGGGUCAUAGAGAAUCAAAUUCUUCCAUGCCUAUCUUAUCACUAUUCGGGUUUUAUUAAUAAAACGAUUGGUUCAUCGGAUCGUAACCGUAGUUAAGAGAAAUAAUUGUCUGUAGAGAUGAUAGGAGUUUUGGUGGAGUAGAAAUGUAGAAUAAACGUGAAUUGAGACGUUGUAAAUAGGAGGAGACCUGAUGACAAAGGUAGUAUUGUAACCUUGAAUCAACCCUUAACUUGAAGUCUCAAUUAUCUAGCCUAUUAAUAAUUAGUGUAACAUGGUUUUUACCGAAAUUCUCCUCUGAUAUGUGACCAUAACACUCUAUACAUUAGUUACCUUAAACAUGAAUCUUAUCCCAAUUUUGGAAGGCCAAGUUAAACUGUAUUGAGAUAUGAAAUAAAAUUAGAUAGUUCAUUUUCGGUUUAGAGUUAAAAUGAAAUAUGCUUGUUAAAACAUGAGCUGAAAGUGUAAACAGCCAGAAACAAAUAUAAUAAUAAAGAAAAAGAGGACUUAUUUUGAUAGCAAAAUAAUUAGCAAGAGUAGUGGUGAAUUAUACCUUAACCCAACAGUAAACUUGUGUAAAGAUUGAGAGGAAUUGAAAUUGAUACUAAGCUAGUAAAUAUUUAAUUGUGAAGGUGUAGAGAUAGGAGAGCAAAGACUGUCGCUUGAGGAGUUUAACGACGGUUGUGGUGAAGGUAAGGGCAUCACUCCACGCGCUUCCGUACGUGUAUAUGUGUAUAUAAUUGUGUGGUGAUAAUUAUCAUAAUGGUGUUGUUUUGAAAUGAAUGAUUAUGUGUUAUAUAUUGGUGUUGUGAUAAUUAUCUUGGUGGUUUGCUUUGGUAUGAAUAUUAUGUGUUAUUAUUUGAGUGGUGUUGUUUUAACAUAAAUACUCUUUGUUUAUGGAUGCAUAACCUUAAGUAACUAAAUGGUGAUUCUAAACUAUAUCCAAUGGUGGGAUACUAGACUUAGAUUUAAGGAGUUAUUACCCAAUGGUGGGGUAUUUACGGAGACAAUCAUGCAUUAGAUGACUCAGACAAAUGCCCAACGGUGGGGUACUGAACAUCGAGUUUUAGGAGUUAUUACCCAAUGGUGGGGUAAUGACGAUUCAUAUGCAUUAGAUGAUUCAGAAUAAUGCCCAAUGGUGGGGUACUGAACAUCGAAUUUUUAGGAGUUAUUACCCAAUGGUGGGGUAUAUUGUCCAAUGGUGGGACAAUUGACUUCGUUUAGAGGUGAAAUCCGGAUCAUGAGCAUGCACAUAUAGAUUGACCAUUAGGGACUAACGCAUUUUGGACAGAUGACCGUCGAUCCGUGUUUCCUCCUUGGCGGUGACGUUAGGGAGGCAAAGUGAUAUAGUAGAAGAAGACGCUAGUGGUGCAUAUUUGGAGGCUUGAUAUAUUCCGACACUGGUAUUAGCCUUGUUGACAAAACUUUUCACAAGCAUCCAGAACUUUGACCAGCUAGGUGUAGUCUUGGGUAGGAAAAAGGCCAAGUGUCUUGUUAUUAGGGAUAAUAUAUUUUUUUAUGUAAAAUUUACUAUUUUGGAAAUUCAAAGAGA